rnacentral:tRNA from 3 species
UGGGGUGUGGCCAAGUGGUAAGGCAACGGGUUUUGGUCCCGUCAUUCAAAGGUUCGAAUCCUUUCGUCCCAG